GCUCCUGUCAGCUCCUGUCAGCUCCCUUCUCCUCCGUUCCGGUCAGCUCCACUGUAAGUCUCGCGGUCUGGUUGCCGCGCGGAUCGUUGCCAUGGCUCUGACGGCCGCGGCUCUCUAAGUUGCCAUAAUACAGACAGUGACUCGAGUAUAAGUCGAGUGGGAGUUUUUAAGCACAAAAAAUGUGCUGAAAAACUAGACUUAUACUCGAGUAUAUACUGUAUAUACAGUGCAUUUCCUGGGAUAAGAGAGAGUGCCCUUACUUGUAGGACAAUACAGAAGAAUGGAAUUUCUAUUUCCAAUAAACUCUGGAGUAAGACCAGAAAAAGUCCUUAUUUAUUUAUUCUGGGUAGAGCUGGGUUUGGAGGGAAAAGUACAGAUAUUCCUAUGUUUUAUUGGAAGUGCAUGACUUGAGGAAACUUUAAGUCAAAUGCCACUAAAUAGCCUGGAAACGUGAACAUAUUUUAUUUUCUGGGUCCUUUUUAUUUUCUAUUUUCUUGGUAUAGCUAUUUCUGAGGAAUUGAAAGCGGUCACUUAUAGCUUAGCAUUAUGUCACCUAAAACAUGUACUUUCUCAGUCUGCGCUCCUAAAAUGGAUGUAAAGCUAAAGGGAAACUGGCAACUCUACAGUGAAACUUUUUAUUAAAUGGCCACUGAAAUAAAAGAAAAAAAGAAUUAUUUUAAAACAUAUUUUUGUUAUAAAGGAAAAAAAGAACAAUCGGAUUUAUUUACUAAAGUGUAGAAUGUGACACCUUUAAAACCAAAUAGUUAACUUAUAUGACUUAAUGUUUGUGCUUGCUUUGAGUGCACAAAUACAGCUCAACAGAAAUUUUCUUUGUAAAAGAAAUUGCAAUAUUUAGUCAAAGUAAGCUCGUUGUAAUUGAAUGAAAUUUUGAAGUUGUGUUUUUAAUUCACGCUUUAGGAAAUAAACCUUGUUAUUUCAGCUUAGACUCUAACAAUAAUGGAAAGUGCAAUAAUUGCAAGGUAAAAGAAUCGUAUAAAGUGCAUGACAAUGUUAAAUAGUGGUGCUUUAAAAAACUUAAGAUGUGAUCUAAACAUUGUGAUAGUUAAUUUACUAGUAAAUGUGUAGCUAUUAAGAGUCCUUUCUGGCUUCUAUCUCUGUCUGCAAAAUGUCCAAUAUACGAACCUGUACAAUCCCUUAAUCCAAAAAUUGCAAUCCCAGAAUGCUUUGUGUGAACAAUGUUUUUUUUUUUUUUAUUGCGACAAGAGCAUUAUUGGAAUGGUGUGUGUACAACCCGUAAAAUUGACCGAUAUUUGAAACUUAGGUAAGAGUAGAAUGUGGUGUUCUGUUCAGGAUUGUAAUAUAUAGCAUUCCUACUGCAAGUAAGUACAAACCCCCUGAGCAUUUCACUAGGUAGGUACGUAAGACAUACAGUUCAUGGAUGGGCUAACUGGAAACUGUCAAUCCCUGCUCUCUGCACAUUAGUUAGAUUGGAGCAAAGAGAUUGAAACUCGCUAAGCUAUGGAUUAUUUGAACUGUAGAAUUAAAGAGAUUAUGUAACUAGGGUUUGGCAGGAUUUAUUUAGAACUGUAGUAAUGAAUUAUAAAAGGUGCGCAUUCUAACAAAAAGAAUGUUCGUCACUGUGCAGUCAACGCUUAAAGAACAACUGUCACAUCCAAACUAUUUUAAUAUAAUAAUCCUUUCAUUAAGUUUUGAAAGGAAAUUAUUUUUUUAUUAAAUGAAGUAUAUGUAAAAAAUGAGAAAAACUCUUGCCUAUUAUAUGACAGGAUCCUUCAACCAUAUACAUGCACCUUGAGUCAUACACUGUUGAAAACCGACAAUUCCCUGCUUCACUAACUGGACAGGAUCAACAGAGAGAUUAAAUGUUGGUUUUCAAACACUGUCAGACCAAAGGGGCGUUUAUAUAGCUGAAGAAUCCUGUCAUAUACUAAAGGUAUGGAUGUGUAUCAUUGAAUAAAAAAAAUAUAUAUUUCCUUUGAGAACUUGAUGAAAAAGAUUAUUAGAUUAAAAAAUAGUUGAGGUGACAGCUGUCUUUUAAUGCAACAGUCAGAAUUCUGUAACAUUUCUCUCAGUUUUGCUGCACAUGAGAUGUCAGAAUAAAUUCCCUACAUCUUUGCUUAACUGUAUAAAAAAAUAACUGCAUACGUGAAGAACAAAAAAUUACAAAGUCCAGCAGGAAUUCAUUACUGUGAAACCUAGUUAGAAGAAAGGAAUGGGAGUUAAUAAUGUUCUUUUGAGAGAAAAAAAUGAAAUUUACUUUCAAUGGGGGCAUUUUACUAAUAGAUUAGACUUUCAUGUUUACACAGAUUUUAGAAAUAUUACAAAUGAAUGAGGGGUAUAAAUUCUUUAUUUAGAAAUAGUAAACAUUUUCAAGCCUUCGGGGUCUUAAUUAAUUUAUUCAACUCAACACCUUGCACCAUAAAUUAGUUUCAAGUUUCUACUAUCUUUAUCUUACUCCAUGGAAAUACUGAACGUUUCUUCUGCUUAAAGGAACAAUCUACCUAAAAUAAAUAAAUUAAAUGUGUCCUUUUUCAGUUUCUAGGUUUCCAUAUUUAUUUAUUUAUUUUAUUUCUUAAAUAAAAUCGCCAUUAAAUUUACCUUUAUUUUCGAGCCAGAACAGUCUCCUCACUGCUGCCGAUCCAUCUCUUUUGAAGUCAUCCACUCUGAUGACUUUUGUCCAGCCUUUCAAUUGUCAUAGAGAAGCAUUGAAGACACGUGGUGGAUGCGCCAAAAUCUCAGUGAUCUCAGUGAUUCUUGCAGAAAAGCUUCUCUAUAAGAAACCCAAAGAAUGUAAGGAGUUAGCGGCUCUAGUGGCCAUCGAUGUGACAGCCACAAAAGGAAUGCUUUUGGCCAAAUGUAAACAUUGAUGUUUUUUAGAUUGCAUUGUAUGUGCUGGGAGGGUUGACUUCUAAUGCAAGCCUCUGUAUCUUGUUUGAAAGUUGUGUUUUCUGCAUUGUUGUUCAGUGGUUCAACAUGCCUAAAUUCUCAAAAAAUUCUGAGGAAUGUUCCCAGGCUGUUGUUUUUUGUUUUUUAGCAGCAUAAAUGGGACAUUUUAGUUUUUGUCGUAUUUUACUCAUCUGAAUUGUUUUCGCUUUAGUCGACUAAAUUUAAACAAUUUUUGUCAACUAAAAUUUGACUUAAAUUGUUAGUCGACAAAAUUAACACUGUAUCACUCUAAAUCAAAUUCAUAAAUACAUGUAGUGGAGUCAAUGCAAGCUAUAAACAUUAAUCUCUUAAAGACGAACAUUGUGUCAUCAUAGAAAUCUCUUAUUUAAGCAUCCUAUUCAAAAAACUGAAUGAACCACUUAAUUAACAACUGCAGGACUGUAACACAGCUGUCAAAGCUUAAUAAUCAGGACAAUCCACAGGACAAUCGAUGCUGACAGAAAACCUUCAGGGACAUGACUGUGAUGAAAGCAAAGUGUAACAUUUGACCAUUAACAUUUUCAACACACUGUACUAAUAAGAUCACAAACAUUUAAUAAGGGUAAAUAACGUUCUCCACGGGAGUUGUGUCCAGAAGAGCCUCCUGUUAAGUACAAAGUAAAACUCGACUCCAGUUUAAUUAUAUAUCACCCAGGUCUUCCAGAGGAUGCAAAAAGUGAGCAUAUAGGAAGAUACACAUGUAUACUAUACUGCAGUGCUGCUAACCGAGGACUAUUGUGAAAGGUGUUACCUUUGUUUAAGGGCAGAAGAAUCAUGGCUAAAAUGUUCCCUUGUGUAUUUGUGAAAUGUGUGGAUGUGUUCGUAGCUUGUGACACUUGACAUUGCAUUCUCUUCUUUGCUUACUCAGAUGUAGUGCUCAGAACUGCCAAUGCAUACAGAAAGUCACAAUCCUUUGAAUGUAUUGCUGUCUCCAGUUGUUUCCCUUCUUUGUGCGCUGAUACAUCAUAAACAAAACCAUAUUAAUCAACCUGACACCCCGUGCAAUUAUUAUCGGUGUCAAUCCAACCUGUGCCGGUUGUUUGAGUUUGGUAUAAUCUGCCUUAGUAUAGUAGAAUUCCAUUAGAUAACAAAUUCUUAAAUAUGGACCACAUAUUCCCUCUCCUAUCCACUCGUCACUCUUUAUGCUGAAUGUUCAGCUUUAAUCUCGUGUUCCCGUUUCACUCUAAACUAGCCCAAAUAGUUACACACAAAUAUCGUUUUUACUCUUUGCCUUCCCUCCAUUUGUGAGAAACUUAAAUUGUACAGAUACUGUCCUUGUACAUUCUUGUAUUGAUGUCUGUUGUUUUUCUUAAUCUGGUGAGUGGUGUAAACACAAUGCAUUUCAAUCGUUCUUAAAUGUAUAUUUUACAGCCACUUGCCACACUUGCCACAGAGUGACAUAUGAACCAGUGAAAAGAUAUGUAGUUCUAUUGUCAAUGUCUUCCAAUUGAUCAUAAUGGUUCUUGCUUCCCAAUGCAUAUCCCAAGCCCACAUUCACGAAAUAAUUAUAUAAUAACAUUAUAUUUUUGCAUACCUAGUGGGCCUCUUUUUAUUUUUAUGCAUAUUUUAGCAUGUCAAUAACGAUCACUCUGUAUACAUGUCCUCUGUCCUAUGUGUUCACUAUAUAGAAUACACUAUUCGCACUAUAUAAAUAAAGAUAUAUAUAUAUGUACAUAUAAAAAGUGCACGUGUUUCUUUGGUAUGUAUGAACUUGUGUUAUUUGGAAUAUAGUAUGUUAGCGAACUAUAAAAGAUAAUUUAAUUCUUUAUUCUAUUCCACUACAGUUCUUGCACUAUCUCUCUAUGAC